rnacentral:rRNA from 1 species
AAAAGCUCGUAGUUGGAUCUCAGUUCCGGCCGGGAGGUCCGCCUACCGGCGGCCACUUCCCGCGCCGAACAGCCGGCCGGUUUCUCUUGAUGAUCUUCACCGGUUGUCUCGGGUGACCGGCACGUUUACUUUGAAAAAAUUAGAGUGCUCAGAGCAGGCGCGACGCCUGGAUAAAGGUGCAUGGAAUAAUGGAAUAGGACCUCGGUUCUAUUUUGUUGGUUUUCGGAACACGAGGUAAUGAUUAAGAGGCACAGACGGGGGCAUUCGUAUUGCGACGCUAGAGGUGAAAUUCUUGGACCGUCGCACGACGAACUACUGCGAAAGCAUUUGCCAAGAAUGUUUCCAUUAAUCAAGAACGAAAGUUAGAGGUCCGAAGGCGAUCAGAUACCGCCCUAGUUCUAACCAUAAACGAUGCCAGCUAGCGAUCCGGCGUCGUUCCUCAAAUGACACGCCGGGCAGCUUCCGGGAAACCAAAGCCUUUGGGUUCCGGGGGAAGUAUGGUUGCAAAGCUGAAACUUAAAGGAAUUGACGGAAGGUCACACAAGGAAUGGAGCUUGCGGCUUAAUUUGACUCAACACUGGAAAACUCACUCAGACAAGGCACAGGAAGGAUUGACAGAUUAAGAGCUCUUUCUUGAUUCUGUGGGUGGUGGUGCAUGUCCGUUCUUCGUUGGUGGAGCGAUUUGUCUGGUUAAUUCCGAUAACGAACGAGAUUCUAGCCUACUAAAUAGGCGCUCCGAUCGGUUCCUGUCGGACGCUCUUCUUAGAGGGAUCAGUGGCGCUUAGCCGCACGAAACAGAGCAAUAACAGGUCUUGAAUGCCCUUAGAUGCCUGGGGCCGCACGCGUGCUACAUUGAAGGAAUCAGCGUGUGCUUUCCCUGUCUGACAAGACUGGGUAACCCGCUGAAACUCCUUCGUGCUGGGGAUAGGAGCUUGUAAUUGUUCUCCUUGAACGAGGAAUUCCUCGUAAGCGCGAGUCAUCAGCUCGCGUUGAUUAGGUCCCUGGCCUUUGUGCACACCGCCCGUCGCUACCCCCGAUGGAAUGAUUUAGUGAGGUCUUCGGACUGGCGCUCGGAGCGGCCCUCGCGGGUCGCGCCGGCGUGCCGGAAAGAUGCCCAAACUUGAUCAUUUAGAGGAGGUAAAAGUCGUAACAAGGUAGCU